UUGUUGUUCAUCAAUCCGUGAGAGAGAGCACUCUUUACACCAAUUUGUUUAUUUUACUGGCAGCAUAGCCUUAAAAUGGUCUCCCUCUCUCUCUUUCUCUCUCUCUCUAUAGGCCCAUGGAUGAUGGGCCACCAGACAAAAAAAAAUAUUUCCCCAAUCGCCUCCAUCUCUAUUAUCGUUCUCAACUCUGAACUUCCCGCCUCUCUGUCUCUGUCUCUUUCUCUCUCUGCAACUGCAAACUACGAAAUCUACAAGAAUCAGAAGUUCAAAACCCAUAUAUUUCAGUUUAUCUAUCUGUCUGCAAGAAUCAAAAGUUCAAAACCCAUUAACUAUAUCAAAACCCAUAUCUUUCAGUUUCCAUCGCCCGCUGUUCCAGUUCGGCUUCGCUGUUCGCAAGCUUCAGCCGCUGUCUCUCAACUCUCAAGCUUGCCCCCCUCUCUCUCUGCAACUGCUAACUUGGUUUUACCUCUAACUACUAGCAAUCAAGGGAAUGUUACCUCAGUCCUCAGGCUUACCUCUUGGAAAGAGAGAAAGAUAAAAGGGAUUGGGUGGACUCGGCAAAAAAAAAAAAAAAAGAAAAUUGGUUGAGUUGGCUGCCAGCAAAUUCCCGUAUAUGGGUUAUCCUCGGCCAAGCGCGUUUUUUUAUUUGAUGAAUUGGUAUCCUGCUAUAUCCGCCGAUGCGAGACGAUGGAAGAGUUGAGGGAAUUGUGGUUCUUUAUGAGGACAAAUCCAUUAUUUUAUAACAGCGAGAAGCGAUACAAUUUUGUGCAAAAAGCAUUCAUGCUGCAAAAGACGGAGUAUGAUUUUAUUAAGAAAGUUUCAUUGAACACGAGGUCGAUGGAUAUGGCCGACUGGCACAUUGAAGUGCAAGGAGAACAUGAGCUAUAUAAUGUCCUAAUAUAUGGUACUGAAGGUAGCUUUUUCGGUAUUUGCCUGUUCCAAAGUUUUUCUUUCAAAUGGCAGAGAACUAUUAUAAACUACCUACUAAUGAUACUAAUGAGAGGGAUAUGAGCCUACAAUCCUUGAAAGAUCCUCCCUACCCAUUGGGUCGCUAUUAUAUUUGAUGGAGAACCAGACCUGGCCUGAGUGCUUGAAGUCUAUUUGACCCACACCUAUUAUUAGAGACGUGGGAAAGAAAGAUAGAAUUCAGGAUUUUGCUUUUAUAAUUAUUAUUGAAUUUUAAGGUUUUAUUUAUGGUAAUAGGAAUUUUAGGCUCUUCUUUGAUGCCUAUUUAUAUGUUGGUUCAGACAUUGUGAAAGUCAAUUUGAAUUUUGAGAUGGAAAAUACUUGAGUUACGGCCGAUUGUGCCCUCCUGAGUGAUGUGGUUGAAUAAAAAUCUGACACGU